GGGCUGGAUGGCGCAACGGUGGUAGCGCACCGGGUUCACGACCCGGCGGACGACGGUUCGACUCCGUCACCAGCCCGCCA
rnacentral:tRNA from 1 species